AUUGAACGCUGGCGGCAGGCUUAACACAUGCAAGUCGAACGAGUGGCGGACGGGUGAAUACUGCUUGGGAAUCUAGCUUAUGGAGGGGGAUAACUACGGGAAACGGUAGCUAAUACCGCGUACCAUAGGAUGAGCCCAAUAGGGAUGAGUUAGUUGGUGAGGUAAAUGGUCACCAAGCCGACGAUCUCUCGCUGGUCUGAGAGGAUGACCAGCCACACUGGAACUGAGACAGGGCCCAGACUCCUACGGGAGGCAGCAGUGGGGAAUAUUGCCCAAUGGGAGCAAGCCUGAUGCAGCCAUGCCGCGUGUAUGAAGAAGGCCCUAGGGUUGUAAAGUACGUUCAGUCGUGAGGCGUUACCGACAGAAGAAGCACCGGCUAACUCCGGGCCAGCCGCCGCGGUAAUAC
rnacentral:rRNA from 1 species